AGUGAACGCUGGCGGUAGGCCUAACACAUGCAAGUCGAACGGCAGCACAGAGGAGCUUGCUCCUUGGGUGGCGAGUGGAGGACGGGUGAGGAAUACAUCGGAAGCUACUCUGGCGUGGGGGAUAAGGUAGGGAAACUUACGCUAAUACCGCAUAGGACCUACGGGAUAAAUGAGGGGAGCUUCGGACAUUGCUCGGUUGAGUGAGCCGAUGUCGGAUUAGCUAGUUGGCGGGGUCAAGGCCCACCAAGGCGACGAUCCGUAGCUGGCCUGAGAGGAUGAUCAGCCACACUGGAACUGAGACACGGUCCAGACUCCUACGGGAGGCAGCAGUGGGGAAUAUUGGACAAGGGGCGCAAGCCUGAUCCAGCCACACCGCGUGGGUGAAGAAGGCCUUCGGGUUGUAAAGCCCUUUUGUUGGGAAAGAAAUCCAUCUGGUUAAUACCCGGGUGGGAUGACGGUACCCAAAGAAUAAGCACCGGCUAACUUCGUGCCAGCCGCCGCAGUAA
rnacentral:rRNA from 1 species